GACGAACGCUGGCGGCGUGCUUAACACAUGCAAGUCGAGCGAGAGAAAUUCCUUCGAGAAGGACUCUAGCGGCGGACGGGUGAGUAACACGUGGGUAACUUGCCUCAUAGAGGGGAAUAGCCUUUCGAAAGGAAGAUUAAUACCGCAUAAGAUUGUAGUAUCGCAUGAUGCAACAAUUAAAGGAGUAAUCCGCUAUGAGAUGGACCCGCGUCGCAUUAGCUAGUUGGUGAGGUAACGGCUCACCAAGGCGACGAUGCGUAGCCGACCUGAGAGGGUGAUCGGCCAGAAUGGGACUGAGACACGGCCCAGACUCCUACGGGAGGCAGCAGUGGGGAAUAUUGCACAAUGGGGGAAACCCUGAUGCAGCAACGCCGCGUGAGUGAUGACGGUCUUCGGAUUGUAAAACUCUGUCUUCAGGGACGAUAAUGACGGUACCUGAGGAGGAAGCCACGGCUAACUACGUGCCAGCCGCCGCCGUAA
rnacentral:rRNA from 1 species